AAUUAGUGAAGGGAUGAAAAUAAUGAAACUGUAUGAUGCAAAAGUGUAUUUUUCAUUACAGUUUCUGCUGCUGGGCAAGCGGUAGAUCACUAUGGCUUCUGUACCGUGAAAUGAAGCUUAUGAUAAAUAAAAUACUGCUGCUUGCUGGUCACUGAUUCAAGAUCGUUCAGUGGCUACCAUUUGCCAAUCUCACCAACGGAAUAUAAUAAGAACUAAUGGAGGUUUAUAUUGUCUAUUCGGAACAAAGUUAGUACGCUUUUUAAACCGAUGUUGGAUUUU